AAAGGCAAUUGUUUAUUUUCCUGCCGAACUAAAAUGUGAUACAAUGAUACAUACCUGUGAUAUGCAACACCUGCAGUAGCGAAUAAAGUCCUGUGCCCACUGUCCAGGUUGACUUUCAGUGAGGAGACGUGGCUUUUAACUCCUUCACAGAAGAAGUACACCAAUUGCAUCAACAGCUCCAGACUUGUUGGUCAUCAACCACAAAACAGUCCAGCAGCAACCCGGUGGGGAUUUUAACAAAAAGGAUGAACUAGAAUAUAAUUGUGCAAGAAAUACCAACUUGAAGAUGUGAUGCUGGCGCGGUAUCAGUGAGCCUGGUUUCUAAUGUA